ACCUAAAAGAUUAGGCGUUCCCUUCGGGGACGGAAUGACAGGUGGUGCAUGGUUGUCGUCAGCUCGUGUCGUGAGAUGUUGGGUUAAGUCCCGCAACGAGCGCAACCCUUAUUGUCAGUUGCCAGCAUUUAGUUGGGCACUCUGGUCAGACUGCCGGUGACAAACCGAAGGAAGGCGGGGAUGACGUCAAAUCAUCAUGCCCCUUAUGACCUGGGCUACACACGUGCUACAAUGGGUGGUACAACGAGCAGCGAGACCGCGAGGUCAAGCGAAUCUCUAAAAACCAUCCUCAGUUCGGAUUGCAGGCUGCAACUCGCCUGCAUGAAGCUGGAAUCGCUAGUAAUCGCGGAUCAGCACGCCGCGGUGAAUACGUUCCCGGGUCUUGUACACACCGA
rnacentral:rRNA from 1 species